UACGGAGGGAGCUAGCGUUGUUCGGAAUUACUGGGCGUAAAGCGCACGUAGGCGGCUUUGUAAGUUAGAGGGGAAAGCCCGGGGCUCAACCCCGGAAUUGCCUUUAAGACUGCAUCGCUUGAAUCCGGGAGAGGUGAGUGGAAUUCCGAGUGUAGAGGUGAAAUUCGUAGAUAUUCGGAAGAACACCAGUGGCGAAGGCGGCUCACUGGACCGGUAUUGACGCUGAGGUGCGAAAGCGUGGGGAGCAAACAGG
rnacentral:rRNA from 1 species